GAAGAGCCUCCAGAGGGAAAAGAGAACGAGGUGACCUGGAAGCGGAAGCGGAUGCGUGCGUAAUUCAUAUGCUGCAGCAAGACCGCGAAUUGAGGUGAUAGAAGCGCUGAUAACGCUACGAGAUAUGGAUGGAAUGGAGUCAGGUGGAGGGGAGGAACUUGAUCCUGAGAUCGACUAUGAUGAUGAAUGGGGUGAAUUAUUCAAUAGAUUACGAUGCUGGCUGCGAUUCUGAUUAUGAGCCUGAUCUGCUUCAGCUUCGGCGCAAGAGAGCCCGAACGAUGCCCACCGUGCAGGUGUCAACAACUCAGAUGGAGCGAGAGGAGAAGGGGAAGGACGGCACGGUUUGGAUAAAACAGCGAGUUGACAACGCUACAGGUCGAUUAUCAGCACAGAAUGGCACCCCAUUGGAAUGUGACAUGCAGUAUGAUGUUGCAGCACAUCAAGGACUGCUGUAGCUGAGGCGCACCAGGCGAAAGGAGACACCGUGGGACAUGUCUGUGGAUAAACUGGAAGCGUUCAUUACGCUCCUAUAGGUCCGAGCAACACAGUCUCACAGUCAAUUCGUGCAUAUAUGUACAAAAUGCAUUUCAGCAAAUUUCGUGCGUUUUUGUGCGUUUUUACUGCCUUCAUUCGUGAGAAAAGACACGAAUUUAUGUGCUUCUUAAUUCGUGCGAAAAGACACAAAUUAACCAGUAGGUUACACACAAGCCUUUUCAACAACCAUAUAGAAGCUAUAGUUUAUAUUUAAUUUUUGUUCUUAAACUCGAUGUAGGAUCAGGCAAAAUCCUUAUGCAGGUUUGGUCCUCGGUUGGUUGCCAUGUGUCCAUAUCGAGUGGUGUGGUCAUGAUGUCUAGGUCCGCUUGUCAACGGAUGUGGAAAGCAUAGUGCAACCUAGGAGUUUGGUUUCUAGUUUUGAGUCGGUUGAUCCACUUCCAUCUCUGACUCGUGGAAACCGGAGGGGGAAGGGAGGGGGUGCACUCCACACAUAUGCGCUUAGGCCGGAGGGGUCCGGGCGCGGACGGCCAAAGUUCCAGUUGGAGUUAGGGUUAGGUAUAGUUAGUAGAAUGGUUAAGGUUAGGGUUAAGGUUAGGGUAAGGUAUAGUCGCGUAUAUGGUUGUUGCAAAGGCUUGUGUGCCUACUGGUUAAAUUCAUGUCUUUUCGCACGAAUUAAGUAGCACAUAAAUUCGUGUAUUUUCGAACGAAUUGAACCACACAAAAAUGCACAAAAACGCACGAAAUCUGCUGAAAUACAUUUUGUACAUAUAUGUGCGACUUGAAUGUGAGGCUGGGCUGGUCCGAGGACUGUACGGCGGAAUGAACACGCCUUUGGAGAGCUCCUGGAACGAAAAAUAUGGGUUGAUGCCACGGAACCGCUUCAGAGAGAUCAUGCGAUAGCAAGAGAGACCAGACGCAUGCGCCUGGAAACCCUGGUAUCAGAAGUGUGGGGAACGUUUGUUCAGAACUGUGUUUCCUCUUACAAACCUGAAGUUAACAUUACCGUUGAGGAGUAAUGGUUCCCGCAAACGCUAAGUGCAACUUUACGCAGUACAUCCCCAACAAGCAAGACAAGUGGGGCAUGAAGUUUCGGUUGGCAGCUGACGUCGACAGCAAGUACGUGCUGAAUGUCUUUCCAUAUCUGGGGAAAGAUGCAUCUUAGCGUCCUGGAAAUGUGGUGAUGAGGACGGUAAGAACCUUACCUUGGCGAGGGUAGGAAAGUAAACACAGACGAGAUCUUCACAUCACUUCCAUUGGCACAUAAAUUGAUUGACAAGAACACAAGCCCGGGGGGGAGCUGCCUCCAUCUGCAUGCAACCAGUCACAAGCAGAGCUGUUAUCCACAGCGGUGCUGAAGCACGACAAAGCAACACUUACGGUUUACAGAUGUAAGCCACGAGAGAACGUCUGUAUCCUGAGUACUAUGCAUCUGACAGUUGCCAUUGGCGGUGAAACACAAAGAGAACCAGAGACCCUGACGACCUAAAACAACACACAGGUUGGUGUGGAUACGAUGGUCAGACAGUUCGUGGUGAAAGGGGGGUACUCGCCGCUGGCCGGUUGCAGUAUUCUACAACCUGCUUGGCCUGGCUGCUAUCAACGCGCACGUUUUGUUCACCCUGUGCACUAGUAAGACAAUCGCGAGGAGAGAUUUCAUCAUGCAGUUGGCAUUGGCGCUUCGUGAGAACCACAUGAGCGCCAGGGGCAAGGCAGCAGCGCACGACGUGCCAAAUGACGCACCACCGCUCUUCCGAGAAGAAGAGACAGUGAACGGAUGCGCACGGAAAGAAAACUGCGACUUCUGCGGGAAGGAAUUUGUCUGCGGAAAGUGCUCAUUCCAGAAUAAAGAUUUGUCGAAGAUUUGUGUUGAAUGUCAUGCCAUGUUACUGUAAGAGAUUCUUCUGUUUAACGGAAUAACUGCUGCUAAGCGUAAAGGCGCACGUGCCCGAGAGAGGACACAAUGACUGACACCAGUACAGGCUGUUUAUAUGACUGACACUUGUUAUAUGCUUGAUAUGUUAUUUUAUAAUACCGUUAUCGUUUUACAUUUGCUCGUUGUACACUCCAUUGAGAUGACUCUCGACCCAUUUAGCCCUAUUGACAGUGCGAAUUUUGGAACACCUAUAAGCCUACUAGGUUGACCACUUAGUCUAACAUAAGAGCGGAUGUUAUAAAAAGAUGCUUCUACAUUCAAUUACAGUUAAUGUGAUUUCUGUAUCGUUCUUUUCGCUAAAAUCUACAUAUAAAAUGGAAUUACCAUUUA